ACAAUGUGGAACUACGUGGAACAAAAAUGGAAGAGAGAGUGCACAGUGGGACCUUAAAUUUUACUAAAGCGCGCUCCGGGACAGAAAUCUUUUGAAGAUAAAGAGGAAAAAAUCAAUAUCAUUAUUAUGAUAAAAUUUGAGUACAGAUUUGCUUUUAGCAAACAUUUUGACUUGAGAAUAAUAUGUGCAUACAUAUUAAUGCAUAAUGCAAUGUCUACUCGUUGAAGAUACAAAUUUGAAACGUAUAAAGACCUGAUUUCUGAAGAGAGAAGGCUAAGCUUUUAAAAAGCCAAGUGGAAAACGAAGCCCGCGCCUGUAUCCAUGCCUAAAAUGUAUUUCAAUCGUUCAGCAAGUUUACAACCCACUGUACGAAGAGGUGACGGUGACGGAGUGGCGGUCGGUCAGUUAUGUAUUCAAUAAGGGUAUACCAAUGUCGCCUAACUACACAAGUUUAAAACUUUGUUGCCCGAAGAGAUAGACCUCAAUUUCGGUGAUAAUCUCUUCAUUCAACGAAAAUUUCUUCCCAGCGAAUAUUCUCUUGAGAUCUGAGAAUAGGAAAAAGUCGCUCUGACCGGAAGCAAUUCGAAGCCCAUUGAUGGAUUUUCACCAUCGUUUUCACUGACUUGUGACACGGUGCAAAUGCCUAGCGAUUUCGUCCUUCAAAUGGUCUAAUAACAUUUUGCACAUCAAGGUCACCGCGAUGUGGGUAGUUCAGUAACGAACGUCUACAAAACGAAGCUUCACUAAUGAGAGUUCGCCGGCUCGUUGGCAGAUGCAUUGGCGCGGAUUAAGAAUGUGCAGAAGCAAACAAAGGAUUGCGGGACCUAAAACAACACCAGCUCUUCUGGCCGGGACAACAACUGCAGCGGCAAUGCAGCAGGAACAAUGAAACAAACGGUCUUUUGGCUAUUCCACCCCUCUUUUAACUUGUCCUACGCACAUUCUACACAGCACUCUAAAAACUGAGAGAAAUGGCAAUAGCUUAAA